rnacentral:tRNA from 4 species
GCCCAGAUGGCGGAAUCGGCAGACGCGGUGGACUCAAAAUCCACUUCCCGCGAGGGAGUGGGGGUUCGACUCCCCCUUUGGGCACCA